CGUUAAUGGCAAUGUAUUUGCAGACUGAAUAUAAAAUCCUAUGACAACAUUACAACUUUGAAGGAGGAAAGCUUUUUGAAUAAAUGUAUCUACACACAGAUAGAUUGACUGGAUAUACCUCUUAAAGUUUUAAAACAUGCUGCUUGAGUUAUGCUUAUUACUUUGUAAAGUGACUAAUAUCCCAUAUGAAUGCAGGCCAAUUUUUAAGUUUAGAAGUCAGAGCUCCCACAGUAAGCCUUUGGAUAUGGCACUCUGAGGCAAACCCUACAUUAAGAAAAAUUCUGCAGCUGUGCCAGGAAUCAGAUCAAAACACAGAGAACUUCAAAAUUCAGUUCUCAAAGUUAGGAAAGGUCAUGAAAUCUGCCACUAUUCGAAUUCGAGGUUGGGAAUUUCAGAGUGGUGAUGAUACUUUGAUCCUGAAAUUUACUUCCCUAGAGCUGGUAACAAUAGAACAUUUACAAAUACAUUGAAAGAAUGCGACUGCAUCCAAUUGUUUUUAAUAGUUUAUAGAGUACAGUUUGCAGAAAUCCCAUAAGGAAGACAAUGCUUUAAGUCCAGUGCACCUCCACUUAUCUAAAGUUUUAUAUUCAUAGUUGCAUAUGCCUUGAAACUGCAGGAACUUAUCCUAAGAAGCUCACAGCAUUGCCCCGCAUUGACAACACAUUUAACAGUAAACAGGGAAGUGUACACACUGCUUUCAAGAACCAACUUUAGCCAAUCUGACCUUUUUCCAAAGCGUUAUUGUUUGUUUUGAAACUUUUAAUCCAAUAAGAGCCUCUGUCGAUGCCAUCAUGAAUUCAGAUGUGUUUAUUUUGGAGCCUACACCAGCGCCUUUUUUGUUUGCUCUUUCCGGCAAUUCCCCAGUGAGGAGGAAGACCUGGAGUAAAGUCUUUCUCUACCGUCGGCACUGGAGGAGUGAGAGCUGAAAGAGGGAGAAUCGGGAUCGCCAUGGGGUUGGCCACUCUGGAACUUGAGCGGCUUUCGUCUGCGUUAGGAAGCGUGGGGAAACGGAACUGGCUGAGGGGCGACAUGUCACGGAGGAACGAGGAGCGGGCGCAAAGGUGAGGGCAGAGCACUGGGAAGGGGGCGGCG
rnacentral:lncRNA from 1 species